CCACCGGCUCUUUCCAGAGCCAUAAAAGGAACUAAUCAAGCUCUUU
rfam:Leptosomus discolor contig33335, whole genome shotgun sequence.